rnacentral:sRNA from 1 species
AUGUGUAUGUGUGCAGAAGUGCAUGAGGCUUCGGGGGAAAUGUGUCUGCUGUCUCUCCGUUUCAAAGAGAUGAUGAAAUGUCUUUGCUGCAUCUCUUCCGUGGAAGAGAAUGCAAGUGUUGACUCUUCAGCCCUCCACAGUGUUUGACCCAACACUGACUGCUGGAUUCCUCUCCUGUGCUAUAUGCUGGGCUACUUCUGGUCUGACUUCACUCUCUUGGUUGGAACAAAUUGUCUUCAUUACUCUGAAUGAGUAUCAAUUUCCCACAGAACUACAGAGAACAUUCUGGAAGUCACAAAAUUGGAUCUGAGAUAGAAAGGUGACUGGAGAAAGUGGAAGGAGAAGAAACUACAGUCAGGAUGUAACAUAUAA